GGAAUUUUUUCAGUCAGGCUCCUGUCUGGAAUCCAGUUCAUAUCUGGUUUUAGGCCAAGCUUGGCUAUAAACAACA
rnacentral:miRNA from 1 species